AUGAGGGGUAGGGCGAAAUCCCUCUUGGGUCCGCCCGGCACCGAUGCGGUGACGCCUGCGGGCGCCAUCAACCUUCUUGAAGGGAGUCGGGAGUAUCUCUCCCCCGCUUCCCUCCGUGUACCGGGAGAAAUCCUAGGAUUCAUCCGGGCAGCAGCAUCGUCGUCGUCGCAGUCCUUCUUGAAGGUGUUUCUUGGUUCGCGGCGACUCGAUGGCAUUGGAGCGUGGUGGAUGUCUUCGGUGGGCGCAACGGUUGCGGGAUGCUUAGCUUUCGUUCAUCCGGUGCUGCUGGCAUUUCUUUCUCUUGCUUUUCUCUUAUUUUUCUUUUGGGCAUGGUUGUGCUGUUUGCCCCAACGUUGA
rnacentral:rRNA from 1 species